CUAUGCCUAGCUUUNAACAUUGACCACUUACACAAAUAAUCCGCCAGGGAACUACGAGCCUCAGCUUAAAACCCAAAGGACUUGGCGGUGCCCCAAACCCACCUAGAGGAGCCUGUUCUAUAAUCGAUAACCCCCGCUUAACCUCACCACUUCUUGCAAAAACCGCCUAUAUACCACCGUCGCCAGCCCACCANGUGAGGGGAAUGCAGUAGGCAAAAUGGCCCCCGCCAGAACGUCAGGUCAAGGUGUAGCGUAUGAAGUGGAAAGAAAUGGGCUACAUUUUCUGGCUCAGAACAACACGAAAGGUCACUAUGAAACCUGNCCCAAAGGAGGAUUUAGUAGUAAAGAAAAANAAGAGAGUUCUCUUAACUCGGCCCUGGNGGCCGCACNNANCNCCCGU
rnacentral:rRNA from 1 species